UCUUAUGGACAUUCCUACAAUUGUAAUGCACCAUAUCCCAUCAGAACUCCACAAUUAAGCGUGCUUGGGAUAUAGUAGUACUGGGAUGGGUGAUCCCCUAUGAAUUCCUAUUGUUUUACAUGCC
rfam:Picea glauca, whole genome shotgun sequence.